GGCCGGGCCCCGCUUCCUCGCUGGGGGCGCGGGGAUGCAGUCGCCUCCGCGCGCCCCGACGCCCCGGCGGCUGGGGGACCCGGAGGGCUGGCGUGCACGGCCCGCAUGGGGAAGGUAGACACGCCGAAGCGGUUAUGCGCACCGAGUCAGGCACUGACUGCCCAGGUGCGUGCUGCGACCCAGGGACAGGUAGAGCCAGCUGAAGGGAUGCCAGUAAUGAUAAUAAAACCUCCACGUUUCCGCCACCCAACUUAGAAAACAGACCCGUGCCAGUCCUUUUGAGGCCCACCGCAGCCUGCACCACGACCUCCUCCAGAAGAACCACUUUCCUGGAUUUUGUUCUAAUGAUGCUAAUCAGCUCCUCGAUUUUCUGUUAGUUUUACACCUUUGUAUGAAUCCCUAAUAUAUCGUUUAGUUUUGAUUUUUUUUAACGGUGCAAAUGGAAUCACUCUCUAAUUAUGUGACUUCCUUUCUUCACACAGCAUUAUGUUUUUUUAAAAAUCCAUUUCUAUUGCCUGUGUACCUAUAACUUAUUUCACUAUUGAAUAGCAUUCCAUUUUAGGAGUCUACUACUAGCUAUUUAUCCGUUCCCCUGCUAUUGCAUGUUAUUUCUAGGAUUUUUUUAUUUUUUGCUAUUACAAAGCCGGGGCAUUAAAUAUUCUUGUAAAUAUCUUAAUGUUAAUUGUAGAGUUGAGAAACUGACGCUGAGAUUCAGGAAGGUGAGGUCUCUUGCCCAGGGUCCCGGCGCUGGUAGAGCUGGAAUUCACACCUUCCUCAGGGUGUCCCUCUCCACAUCUACAUCUGCUUCUUCCGGGAGGCCACCGAAGUCCCCAGGGAGGAGGGAGCAUGUAUUUCUAGUCGGUCUCAAAGCUGUUCCUGUGAGCUUGCCCAACCCCACCUAGCCAAGUCCCUGCUUUGUUGCUUGGUCACCAUUAAAGACCCCAAAGGGUUCCCUCUUCUGUAGCCCCCAGGCACAGCAACCCCAGGGGCUGGCCACCGAGGAGAGGGGAAAACAAGCCCCCUCCCUGUGCC
rnacentral:lncRNA from 1 species